rnacentral:rRNA from 1 species
ACGGGUGAGUAACACGUAGGCAACCUGCCGACAGGAUGGGGACAACAUUCCGAAAGGAAUGCUAAUACCGAAUGAAGUCACCGGAGGGCAUCCUCUGGUGAUGAAAGAUGGCCUCUGAAUAUGCUAUCACCUGUCGAUGGGCCUGCGUCUGAUUAGCCAGUUGGCGGGGUAACGGCCCACCAAAGCGACGAUCAGUAGCCGGUCUGAGAGGAUGAACGGCCACAUUGGGACUGAGACACGGCCCAGACUCC